UUACGGUGGAGAUAUGAAGCGUUUGCGCUAGAGACAAAUCCAGCAAACCUACGCAUUGGGAGUUGUGAUGGGGGAUAAGUUAUGUAGAAGUUCGAGUCUAACUGGGAAAUAACAAUCUACUAAACUACAAGGUGCCAGAAGAGCGUUUAGGCCUAAUCGCGACAGUUUCCUUGGUGAUUAGAGGAACAGUGGAAACUAAAGCCUCAUCCGGGUUACCAGGUAGAAGCAGGUUUGGAGAGAUUUUUGAAGAGGGAAAGUGUCUGAGAAAGGUGUGUGCUCACAGGACAGGAAAAAAGGCGAGAUGAGACUAGAUAGAUGCUAAUCAAAAUCACGUUAUGUUAUCACAUUCUAGGUCCUGGGGGGAAAAUCAUUUUUAAAAAUGUGGGAACCUGGACAAGCAUUUGAGUUUGAUUUUUACUAUUUUAGUAAUACCAUAGACUAUAGAAAGACUAUAAGACUAUAUAAUACCUUAAAAGGGACUUUGGUAAUAGGCUACCUAAUAAUGAAACAGAAUUUAAUACAUAUUUUUUAGAAAUACACAAUUCUGGCAUAAACAUUUCCAUUCCAAGUAUCAAUUAUUUGACAUAUCUGUCAUGUACAAAUGUACUUGUGGUUGCAGCUGUUGUUUUCAGGCUAAUAUUGUUUUUCAGGAAAUCAAAGAUUGUUGAUUCCUGUGUGCAGUUCCUUCUAAGUAAGUGAUUUUAGCUGUGGUUUUCAUGUCUAGGCAAAACAGUUGCAAAUGAUGAAAUCAUCAAAUGCAAACAGCUGCAUUAUCUCAAGAGUCAUUUUACGCAUACAGGGUUUUAUGAUUUGUUUGAUCUGUUAUAAGUUUAUUAUGUGUUGAAUAUCUCCUUCUCUUUCUUCCAACUCUUUUCUAGUUUACUUGAACUUCUGUCUCCCUUCCACUGU